AGAGGCAGGCAACCACGGUAGGGUCAGCGACUGGGGUGAAGUCGUAACAAGGUAGCCGUAGGGAACCUGUGGCUGGAUCACCUCCUUUCU
rnacentral:rRNA from 1 species